rnacentral:lncRNA from 1 species
AAUGUUAGCAGGAGGCAAUCAUAAGAAGCCUGUCAUCCUAGUCCCUUAAGAGGGGGUGGAUGGCUUUGGUAAUUUUAUGAAUUAUAGCUAUGUUGUCAUUUAAGGGGAUGGUUACAAAUAGUCAUGGUCUUGGACUGGAAAUUUAAAGGACUCCUAUUUAAUUUCUUUUCUAAAGAAAUUAAAUAGGGAGUUUAGACUCAGGGAUUUCCAUCCCUCUUUUCCUUUUCUAUACCCUUCUUUCUCAGAUAAAGCUAAGGGAUUUGAGAAGAAAAAUGGGGAAUAUAGAAAUAUCAUAAAAUAAUAAGAUAAAGGAUAGAUUACUAAAUAUACUCUUUAACUUUGAGCUAUUGUUAUUCUCAAUUCUGUUAUUUUGUUACAUUGGUAUAAAAUGCUGUAUAUUUCUAUAGGUUUAAGGAUUUCAUUGGUAAAUCUGGUAAAUUUAAGGUUAAUUUUGUUACAAUAUAAUAUAUGUAUUUUUAACUUGUAUAUAGGUAUUGUGCCUUGUGGCUCAUUUGAAAAUGCAAGGUUUCAUCCCAGCCCUUUUAGUAGCUGCUAUUGCAAACUAUUAGAGAUGGUUAAGAAAUACAAGUUAAUAAGACAGUCAAAGUCAUGGCCAUGUCAGAUAUUAGUCUAUAUCAUCAGAGAAAUAUGCAUCCUGGAUUGGACAGGUAUCUGAAGACCGCAAUAUUUGCUUGUUCAGAUAUGCUAUGAAUAGAUAAAUAUCCUAUGAAUAGAUAGUCCUCAGAGACUUAAAGAAUAUAUCAUUUAAAGAUUUUUUAUUAUUAAUUUAAGGCUUUUUUUUUGACAUUGAGACAUGUCAGCUCCUAGCAGAACCCCAUUCGACUUGGAAGAAGAUGAUGAGCAUUGAAGGAGCUGUAUUUGGAGAUGGCUUCAUUUGUGGCAAGCUCCUCAAUGGGCAAAGAAAUGCUCUAACUUCAUCUGCAAACAGAAUGCUCUCCAGAAAGGACAAACAACACAGGGGAGUCAACUGCCAAGUCUGCCAAGACAGGGUAAGCAAGCACUUCAUAGUUCCUGCUUCUCAGAAUGUCUGUCAGAUACACUGGGCCAGAAGGCUGAAAAUAGAUGCUCCAACUUUAAAGAGGUUAUUGGGGACUGUCCAGGCAGCACCUGUCUCAGUCAUUUCUAUAAUUUUUGGAAAUUGUGUCCCUGUACUUCCUGCAUACUCAGGUAACAUUUAUUCCUUUUCAGGUCUCUGGUGGGGUUGAAGUCUAGAUAGUCAGAGUCUCACAAUUAAACGUAAGUUACAAAAGAUCUAGGGAAAUGUUUUAAAGUCUCAGUAGAUGUUUUAAGGUUGGUAAUUACAAAUUAUGAAAGUUAGAGGAUUUAAAUGAUUGAAUAUAAAAAACAUGGUUUGGAUGCAGAACUCUAAACUUACUAGGAUAAGAAAGAGAAUAUAAUAAUUUCUCCUGCGUUGCCAAAUACAAACAGAUUGGACUUUUUGAAUGUAACUCUUAUCUAGUCCUUUUCAUUAUUUAUUUAGACAAAAAGAGGAAAUGUUGAGGUCUUGUCUAUUGCUAUCUAUUGUAAUGCAAAAAUUUGUAUCCCAAGGUCUAGUUUAGCAUGUUACUCAAGAAGAGUGAAUUCUCAUGGAUACCAGCUUUUGUUGUACAAUCCUAGUUCCUUAAUUUAAAACUAUUGGUUGAGCAGCCCAUCCUGUAGCUGGGCAUAAGAGAGGUAGGCAAGGCUUCAGCUCCCAGGCUGGGUUUCUGAAAUGGAGACUAAGAGGGAGAGAAGGAGGGGAAGGCUCAUGCCAUGAGGUAUGUGGAUCAUGAGCGCAUGGCCAUGAGAGCUGGUCUGCUGGAGUAGGAGAGGCCUACAUGGAACUUGGCAAGUAAUGUCUCAGGAUUAUUGACAGGGAGGUAGAAAAAACAGCACAGAGGACUGAUAUCUGCCCAGCUCAGGUGCUUUAAAGCUUAUUAUAAAAUAUAAAGGUUUUGUGUCUUUUAUUUGGGAACUACAUGGUCUAAGGUGGAGAAGAAACUCCAAAUAAUAUUUACUGCAACUUUAAUCUGAUGGGGGCACCAAUCUGAUGGAGGUACCAAUCUGAUGGGGGCACCAAUCUGAUGGGGGCACCAAUCUGAUGGAUGCAAUGUUUCAGUUGAGGUUCUCUCUUCCCAGGUGACCCUAGUUUUUGUCGCAUUGAUGAAAAAUAACCAGUACAGCCAUUUAAAAGAAUGCUUGCUUUGAUGAAGAGACAUUUUGAUCACCGUUUCAAACACAAAUUUACUUGUACUAUCAAUUUUUUUUCUGUUUCUUCUGCCCCACAAAUAUUACAAAACACAGGAAAUAGAUGGUUAGCAUGAACAAAGAUAUUAUCUAUUUAAAUAAUCAGGGCAACUCAUAGAGCUAACAUGCUAAAUAUUUUUUUUAAAUACUCAAUAUUCUUCAUUUACUACAAACUAGAGACUUGCAUGGAUGUGUCAGAACUCUGAUUAGCCAAGCUCGAGUGCUGGGUGCAGAGGUCCAACAGGAACCAGGUCUUGGGUGACCCUCCCUCUUUUGUGUACAUGGAACGAAAAGACAGUUGGUGGCAUCAUGUAGAUAUCUUUGAUCAUCUUUCUUCAGUGAAAAUACCUUGUGAUGGACAUUUUCUC